CUGAAGGAUCUGCCAGAGAAGGAAGGUUGCAGGUCCAGAAACACGGCUUGAUCUUCAUGAAUGAGAGGUUCCUAAACAGCAGGCUCAGCCCCAUUCCUCAUCCCCGCUGAGCAACGACGGCAGCCCACGCAGUGCUAGGAUUCAUGGGAUGAGCCUACGAUUGCAGGAAGUUGAGAUGCUUUCUGGCUGACUCCAUGUGGCCUCGGUGCCUUGGGGUACAGUAUCCAGCAAAUCUGCACUUGGAGUGAGGUAUCUCAGACCCAAGGGGCCUUAGACAUCCCACAACCCCUUUUUCCUCCUUACCUGUGGAACCACUGAGGCCACACAGGCCAAAACCGAGCUGCUGUAGCUCACUGGGGACAAAGACAGUGGAUGGCAUGGACAGGAACCCAUUACACAGCCCAGACUGACUCCAAAUUCACAAUCAUCAGGUUUCAGUUUCCCAAGGGGUAGGAUUAAAGGUGUGCAUCAACAAACUGGUUAUUUUUCUUUUGAUUGUUGAAUAAUUCAAGAUGCCUGAGUUACAAAGGUCAAGUUUCCACCCUGUUCAGGCAGUUUUCCUGACUAACACCCUUCAUAACUACAGCACAAAACUCCAACCCAGCAUCAGUGAGCACCAUCAGCUGCAGGAGAAAGACAAGUGGAUGGAGGGGCAAACUGAUGGUGCCUAGGUCACCAUACAACUGUGCCACCUAGCCUUCUGGUACUUCACCCACCUUCCCCACAUGCCUUCACCAGUAUCUGCAAUGGUCUUGUUUCAAUGCAUUUCUUUAUUGCUUCCCUUCCUAAGUACAAUGUGGUUUCCCUGGACCAUCUUAUUCACCAUUAAAUCACCUAUAGUCAGUCUUUGACACAUAGUAGGUGUUCAAUAAAUACUGUGUAUCAAUAAAAACUAAGUCAGUAUUCAGAGGCCAAACUAUGUGUUGCUCUCCUGGAAAGUGCCAUGGUUUCUCCAAUGUGCUGUCCCAGCUCCUUCUUCUGGCACUUCUCUGUUCAUAGUUCCCAUCAGCAGGCCACUCUGGAUUCAAACCCCACAGGAAUGUUUCUUCUGCUGGUAUUCCUGCCAGCUCUACACACUCCAGCCAAGACACCCAGUCACACGGCCUCUCCUGCCACCUCCCUGGGCAGCCUCUAGCAGGCUUCAUUCAGCCUUAUGUCCUCCUCAUAGGCAUAUGCCCCUGUCUCUUGUUUCUCAGGACCUGCACCGUGUCCAGAAUAGCCACUGGCCCCGUUGGCUAAGCACCUGAAAUGUGGACAAUCUGAAUGGAUGUACUGUGGGUACAGAGGACAGAUCAGAGUUUAAAGGAUUAGUCUGAAAAAAAAAAUGUAACAAAUGGACUAUUUUCUGA